GACCGACCGACUGACCUGUUCAGGGAAUUGUGGCGGCGGAGUCAAAAGAGACUUGUUUCUCCAGACAUGAAAGGUUUCUGAGAUCAAGCACCAUGAAAAUGAAAAGCACUCUGUCUGUAGAUUCGGGUCUGACAGCAAGCAGGUGUCUCAAUUAGAAGAGCAUCAUUAAGAAGUGUUUUAUAGCUUGAACAGUAUGGGCCGAGU